UACAACGGGAUACCCGAGGGAAACUUCGGUUAAUACGGUAUAAGACCACACUACCGCAUGGUAGAGGGGUAAAAGGGGCAACCUGGUAUGAGAUGGACUCGCGUCGCAUUAGCUAGUUGGUGAGGUAACGGCCCACCAAGGCGACGAUGCGUAGCCGACCUGAGAGGGUGAUCGGCCACAUUGGGACUGAGAUACGGCCCAGACUCCUACGGGAGGCAGCAGUGGGGAAUAUUGGGCAAUGGAGGAAACUCUGACCCAGCAAUGCCGCGUGAAUGAAGAAGGUCUUCGGAUUGUAAAGUUCUUUAGUCAGGGAAGAAGUCAAUGACGGUACCUGAAGAAUAAGCUCCGGCUAACUACGUGCCAGCAGCCGCGGUAAUACGUAGGGAGCAAGCGUUGUUCGGAAUGACUGGGCGUAAAGGGUGCGUAGGCGGUUGUACAAGUUAGAAGUGAAAUACCCAGGGCUUAACUCGGGUGCUGCUCCUAAAACUGUAUGACUUGAGUGCAGUAGAGGUUAGUGGAAUUCCUAGUGUAGCGGUGGAAUGCGUAGAUAUUAGGAGGAACACCAGAGGCGAAGGCGGCUAACUGGACUGCAACUGACGCUGAGGCACGAAAGUGUGGGGAGCAAACAGGAUUAGAUACCCUGGUAGUCCACACUGUAAACGAUGGAUACUAGAUGUAGGAGGUAUCGACUCCUUCGGCGUCGCAGU
rnacentral:rRNA from 1 species